CACCAGUCACCAGAGCCUACAGGCCCACGUGCUCUUUUCUUUGUCUUUUCUUAUUUCCCCCUUUUAUUCUUGCACUGACUUCUUUUUUCAGAAAAGAAGGAAAUAAGAAAUCAAAGCUGAAGGAUUCUGCAGGAGCAUAAAUUUUGAACAAUGGAAGCCUACUCUGCACUUGCUCUGUUUGUUUUUCUGAUUAAUGGUGUGGCUGCUGAUGAUGUGACAUCAAUCUCAGUUAUGCAGGGAAAUGCAAUUGAAAUGUCUUCUGACGUUACCAAACAACAACGUGACAAGAUGCUGUGGUAUUUUAAUGAUACUCUGAUAGCUCUGAUCAAUGGAGAGCCCAGUACUAGUUGUCUGUAUUAUGGUGAAGAUGAGAUCUUCAGAGACAGACUGAAGGUGGACUAUGCAACUGGAUCUCUGAUCAUCACAGACAUCAGUCCUGAACACUCUGGACGUUAUGAAGCAAAUUUCAUCCAAAGCAAGAGCACUGGAACCAGCCACAGCUUGAACCGAAACAGCAAGUGUGACGGCACAAAAAUCAUCAAGAAAACGAGCAACAUUGGCGACAGCGUAAAAACAUUCAGAGUUUCUGUCACUGCUUAUCUGUCUGAUCCGCUCAACAUCAAUGAAGAAUUGUUCAAUAUGGAGAAGGAGCAAGAGUCUGAAGAGAGUUCAGUACAGUCUUUAACUCUUGUAGCAGUAAUGUGUGCUGGUGUUGUUGCUGUUGUUCUGUUGCUGGCUGUUGUUGUUGGUGUGAUAUACCAUCGCCGCAGGAGCUCUAAUAAAGAAGACAGAAAGAUAAACUCAUCUGAGCAUCUGCUGAAAGUCCCAAUAUGAGAAAGAGAGAGGUCGCUUUGUCUAAGGGCAUCUCAACAGGAUCAGCCCAGAUAUUCUUCUUCUUUUUCCCUCAAAUUGUGGCCAAAAAUCAUAAAAUUGGUCCCAGUCGUGCCCCGCUGCUCAGCCCAGACACUCCUCUGUCUGAUACUAGGUGGCGCUUAUAACAAGCUGAACGCUUUGGGCAUGAUUUCUUUGGAAGUGUGCUGCUGUAACCUCUUUCAUCAAACCCGAUCGCCGAAGAUUCAAGACGGAUUUUGCUGUAAAAGCCACACCAUUAGACCCAUCUCGACAGGAUCGCUAAUCAAACUUGAGCCUUUGGUGCUUGUGCGUGUGGCUAUAUUUAUAUCUUUAUGCCCUUAUUAGCAGUCAAAGAACAACACAGUGUUUGUGGAAGAGAUUUGUCUUUAGUAGUUUGAUGAAGGUUGAGAUGAUCUCAGCAGACCAGAUGGAAGUUGAAUGCUGUGUUGGUGAAAGUUACUUUUAAAAGUAACGUGUUAUAUUAUUGUGUUAUUCCAUAAAAAGUAACUAAUUGAGUUACUUAGGUACUUUUUAUGGAAAGGCCCUAUCAUGCCAAACGUGAAAUGAUUAAGCCUCAAACUGAAUGAAAUGCCUUUUCCUCUGCACCUCACUCCCAAUUUUUCUCAACAUGGGAACAGGAGAGCUGUCGGACAACAAAUGGGAAAACAAACUUAUUUCAAAAAGUAACUGUGAUAUUUCCUUUGUCUGUGAAGUGACUUUGUGUCCCAUUUAGAUUGAACCACUAGCUGGUGGUUAUUUACUUUAGUGGCUAUUGAAAUAAUAUAAAUAUGUCUACUUCAUUUCUAUUUAUUUACACAUAAUCUGUUGGAAGUAGUCUUGCUGUAAUUAUACAAUGCAUGCUUGUGAUUAUUAAAAAGAUGAAAUAACCUGCAUAGACCCUGCAUAAAUUAUUGAAUGCAGUAAUGGUACCAUCACAAUGAGGACACAAAUUCACUGUUCACAACUUGCACUUUCAUUGGGUCUCAAUGUUUUAAAUGAUUUUCUUUGUUGUCAUUUGCAUCUCUGUACUAACUUGUUUUAGGCCACUUGUCAUGCAGCACUUUAUCGCAGAGCACGACUGUCACUUCUGGAAGUUAAAAAUCCCUUUACUUUCCUUCACAGGGCAAUUGAUUUUUAGCUAUUCUGCACAGACCGUCAAGACAAACCAACCACAGACCCACAGGAGCAAACUUUAAACGGACACGCUCCACACACACUCACAAUCACGUCUGCAUUGUUUAAAUGCUGUAAAAGUGAACCUUUGUUGUUCACCAAAUAAGAGCUGUAAAAAGCUCUCUCAUUAUCAUAUUUAUUCGUCUAUAUGCCUAUACGUCUGCAAAAAACACAAACAAACAAACAAGACAGGUUUUUGUCUGUAAUGGUUCGUUUGGGAUAAAUUGCCACCUCAGAAUGGCUGAUGUCUUCAUUGUAUUUGUGUUUAUUAAAUUAUAAUUAAUUGAGAUAUUAUGCAUUAAGUAGGCUGCACAUCAUUCAUCAUAAUCACCAGUUACGUCUACGGACCAACUAAGUGCAAUUAUUCAGCCUGAACUUAAAGCUUAUUGUCAUUAUAAUAACACCCGUUUAUAAAAGUAAAAUAAAAAAUAGGUCUAUAUAUGAUUCAUAGAUGUUUUUCAGUUAAGUAGGUGCUGUUCCGUUUUCAGACUCAGUUUUAUUGGCAAAGGCAAUAUUUCUACAUUUGUGUUUCCAAAGCAUUUGCAGUGUUGCAGCCUACAGUUAAAGCAGUGAAAAAUGUAUGAAAAUAAGAAAAUAUAUUGAAAAGGAAAGAUGAAAUGAAUGGCAGCAGGAAAUAUUAAAAACUACGCAUCGUUUUGGCCACUAGAUGGAAUCGAUGCAGUAUUGAAAGUUUUGACUUUUAUCAUGAUCCAAGAGAGCAAAGCAUGGUGAGCAAAAUGUCAAAUCACUGAAGAGUACCUUAAGACCACGUUUUCUUUUGAAUGUAAUUAUGUUUCUUUUUUGUAUAUAUAAAAUUGAAAAUCCUUUAUACUUUA